AGUCAACCUAACUCGUGGACGUGGAUAACCUCGGGAAACUGAGAAUAAACCACGAUAGAUCAUAGUGCCUGGAAUGGCUUAUGGUUCAAACAGUUUACUGCCAUGGGAUGGGACUGCGGCCUAUCAGCUUGUUGGUGAGGUAAUGGCCCACCAAGGCGAUUACAGGUACGGGCUCUGAGAGGAGAAGCCCGGAGAUGGGUACUGAGACACGGACCCAGGCCCUAUGGGGCGCAGCAGGCGAGAAACCUUAGCAAUGUGCGAAAGCACGACUGGGUCAGUCCGAGUGAUUCCUGAUAAAGGAGUCUUUUGCUUGUCCUAAAAGCACAGGUGAAUAAGGGGUGGGCAAGUCUGGUGUCAGCCGCCGCGGUAAUACCAGCACCUCGAGUGGUCAGGACGUUUAUUGGGCCUAAAGCAUCCGUAGCCGGCUCUGCAAGUCUUCGGUUAAAUCCACCUGCUCAACAGAUGGGCCGCUGGAGAUACUACAGAGCUAGGGAGUGGGAGAGGCAGACGGUAUUCAGUGGGUAGGGGUAAAAUCCUCUGAUCCAUUGAGGACCACCAGUGGCGAAGGCGGUCUGCCAGAACACGUUCGACGGUGAGGGAUGAAAGCUGGGGGAGCAAACCGGAUUAGAUACCCGGGUAGUCCCAGCUGUAAACGAUGCAAACUCGGUGAUGCAUUGGCUUAUGGCCAAUGCAGUGCCGCAGGGAAGCCGUUAAGUUUGCCGCCUGGGAAGUACGGACGCAAGUCU
rnacentral:rRNA from 1 species